GUCAAAUAAAAUCGGCAGCACAUCUACUAAAAUUGGGACGAUACAGAGAAGAUUAGGAUGGCCCCUGUGCAAGGAUGACAUGCAAAUACUAAAGUGUUCCAUAUUUUA